GAUCAUCAUGCCGCGUGAGUGAAGAAGGCCUUCGGGUUGUAAAGCUCUUUUGUCAGGGAAGAAACACCGGCUCUAACACAGUCCAGGAAUGACGGUACCUGAAGAAUAAGCACCGGCUAACUACGUGCCAGCAGCCGCGGUAAUACGUAGGGUGCGAGCGUUAAUCGGAAUUACUGGGCGUAAAGCGUGCGCAGGCGGUUAUACAAGACAGGCGUGAAAUCCCCGGGCUUAACCUGGGAAUGGCGCCUGUGACUGUAUAGCUAGAGUGUGUCAGAGGGGGGUAGAAUUCCACGUGUAGCAGUGAAAUGCGUAGAUAUGUGGAGGAAUACCAAUGGCGAAGGCAGCCCCCUGGGAUAACACUGACGCUCAUGCACGAAAGCGUGGGGAGCAAACAGGAUUAGAUACCCUGGUAGUCCACGCCCUAAACGAUGCUGACUAGUUGUUCGGGAUUUACAUCCUGAGUAACGUAGCUAACGCGUGAAGUCAGCCGCCUGGGGAGUACGGUCGCAAGAUUAAAACUCAAAGGAAUUGACGGGGACCCGCACAAGCGGUGGAUGAUGUGGAUUAAUUCGAUGCAACGCGAAAAACCUUUACUACCCUUGACAUGUCACUAACGAAGUAGAGAUACCUUAGGUGCUCGUAAGAGAAAGUGAACACAGGUGCU
rnacentral:rRNA from 1 species